rnacentral:rRNA from 1 species
UGCUAGUCGCACGAGUUCAGACUCGUGGCGAAUAGCUCAGUAACACGUGGCCAAACUACCCUUCGGAACACAAUACCCUCGGGAAACUGAGGCUAAUAGUGUAUACCAUACCACCACUGGAAUGAGUGGUAUGCCAAACGCCCCGGCGCCGAAGGAUGUGGCUGUGGCCGAUUAGGUAGACGGUGGGGUAACGGCCCACCGUGCCAAUAAUCGGUACGGGUCAUGAGAGUGAGAACCCGGAGACGGAAUCUGAGACAAGAUUCCGGGCCCUACGGGGCGCAGCAGGCGCGAAACCUUUACACUGCACGACAGUGCGAUAGGGGGAUCCCAAGUGCACAGGCAUAGUGCCUGUGCUUUUCGGCACCCUAAGGCGGUGCCAGAAUAAGGGCUGGGCAAGACCGGUGCCAGCCGCCGCGGUAAUACCGGCAGCCCAAGUGAUGGCCGAUCUUAUUGGGCCUAAAGCGUCCGUAGCUGGCCGCACAAGUCCAUCGGAAAAUCCACCCGCUCAACGGGUGGGCGUCCGGUGGAAACUGUGUGGCUUGGGACCGGAAGGCGCGACGGGUACGUCCGGGGUAGGAGUGAAAUCCCGUAAUCCUGGACGGACCGCCGAUGGCGAAAGCACGUCGCGAGAACGGAUCCGACAGUGAGGGACGAAAGCCAGGGUCUCGAACCGGAUUAGAUACCCGGGCAGUCCUGGCCGUAAACAAUGCCUGCUAGGUGUGGCUCCCACUACG